GGCCCAUGUGGUGUAAUUGUUAGCGUGUUGGAUUUGGACCUGAGAGACCAGGGUUCAAAUGCCUGCUUAGCCA